UUACCUACCUGGCAGGAGAGAUCUCCUUCUUCUUGGCCUUGAAUGACUCAGUGUAGUUAGAGGGUGAAGAUCUGACCCCUGCAAGUCUAUAAUGCCUCCAACGUGAGAAUCUUGGCUACACAAUUUAUGCUGAUGGGGAAUUGCUCUCGAGCUUUCCCUC